rnacentral:rRNA from 1 species
AUGGCAGCUCGGUCGCCGCCGAGGCCGGUGCUGCUGCUGCUCCUCCUCGCCCUCCUCUGCUGCCACAUUGGGCUGUGCUCCUCCGCUCCGCCGGCGGCCAAGCCCAAGGCCAAGCUCUCCGGCGGCCGCAAGGAGCUCGUCUCCACGGAUGACGACGAGCCGGUCAAGCCGCCCAAGGCCACCGCGGCUGCCGGCAUCAAGAAGAAGGUCCCCUCUGGCGCCAAGAACCAGACCAAGGUUCUGAAAGGCAAGAAACCGGAGGAGUCCACCACGACGCCGACCAAGGUCAGCACCAAGAAGGCGACCGCUAAAGCGGAUUCUACCACGACCAAGAAGCCGGCCACUAAAGCUGCCGGCGAUGCGGGCAAGCCCAAGGUCCCGAAGCUGGACAAGGCGGCGGCCACCGCCAAGCCCAAGACCACCGAUUCCGCCAAGUCCACCAAGGCGGGCGCUGCCAAGCCGGUGAAAUCUGAGGGAGGCGCCCCCAAGGCCAAGAAGCCGUCCAAUUCGACCGCGGAUUCGGCCAAGUCGAGCAAGAAAGCGCAGGUUGUCGCCGACGAGAAGGUGGAUUCGACCAAGUCGACCAAGAAAGCGAAGGCCGUCGUCGCCGACGGGAAGGUGAAGGCGAAUUCGACCGUGAGCGGCAACGAGGCGGCGGGGGUGGAGGAGGACGUGGUGUUCGCGGAGGAGGCGGAGGGGACGGAGGACCUCAUGUCCGAGUUCCGGGGCCUCCCGGCGCGGCUGCAUCAGACGCUCAUGCCGGACCUGGCGCGGCUGUCGUACACGUCCAAGGCCUACCUGUCGGCCGCCAACGCGGGGAUCGCCGGCGGCGCCUACCUCGCCAUCUACUUCGCCACGCUCGCGCUCGCCGCCGCCGCCACGGGGCUGGAGCCGCUCCGCUUCUUCCACGCCGCCUCGCCCGCGGCCUACGCCUGGACGCAGGCCGCGCAGUCGCUCGGCUUCAUGGGCUACCUCGUGCUCCAGAUGGUGGACCUCGUCGCCGUCUUCUCCGGGGCCGCCUCCCCGGAGGAGGAGGAGGGCGGCGCGGACGCCACCAAGGCGCUCGGCCUGGCGCAGAUGGUGGUGGGGCUGGCCGUCGGCCUCCACUACUACGCCGCCGUGUUCCACCGCGCCGCCGCCGGCGAGGCCCCGCGCGCGAACUGGCGCGUGUACGCCGUGUAUGCCGCGUGCUUCGUCAUCAUCUGCGCGUGCGCGCGAGCGGAGAAGCGGAAGAAGGCCUACCUCGCCGGAGCCGAGGAGUGGAAGAAGAGCUGA